AUGGAGUCAUGUUACAAUGCCUGGAGUGGUGGGCAGAAGGCUGAGUCUGCCGCCAGCUGUAUCUGCAAGGUGCUGGCUGUGACCCAGGAAAAUGAGCACCUGAUGGAAGAUUAUGAACCCCUGGCCAGUGAUCUUCUAGAGUGGAUCCAGUGCGCCAUUCCGACCGUCGUGCCUCAUAAGACCAUCCAGGAGAUUCAGUAGAAGCUGGAGCACUUCCGAGACUAUAGGCAUCUCUGCACCCCCUUCCCUGCCCAAGGUGCAGGAGAAGGGUCAGCCGGAGAUCAAUUACACACUGCAGACCAAGCUGUGGCUCAGCUAUCGACCUGCCUUCAUGCACUCCGAAGGCAGGAUGUUCUCAGACAUCAACAAUGAGUUGGCAAGACAUGGAGCAGGCUGAGAAGGGCUAUGAAGAAUGACCGUUGAAUGAAAUCUGUAGGCUGGAACAACUUGAUCAUCUGGCAGAGAAGUUCCAGCAGGACUGGACUGGUGGGAAGGCCAUGCUGAAGCACUGGGACUAAAAGACAGCCACUUUGUCAGACACCAAAUCUCUGAUCCGAAAAUAUGAGGCCUUUGAGAGUGACCUGGCCGCAUACCAGGACCGUACAGAGUAGAUUGCUGCAAAUUGCCCAGGAGCUCAACGAGUUGGACUACUAUGACCCCCACAGUGUCAACACACGGUGCCAGAAGACCUGUGACCAGUGGAAUAAUCUGGGUUCUCUGACCCACAGUUGCAGGGAAGCCUUGGAGAAACACAGAGAAACAGCUAGAGACCAUCAACCAUCCAAAUGGGCUGCACCCUUCAACAACUGGAUGGAGAGUGCCAUAGAGGACCUGAAGGGCUUGUUCAUCGUCCAUACCAUCGAGGAGAUCGAGGGAGGGCCUGAUCUCAGUCCAUGACCAGUUCAAGUUCACCCUGCCAGAUGCUGACCGGGAGCGUGAGGCCAUCCUGGCCAUCCACAAGGAGGCCCAAAGGAUCGCUGAGAACAACCACAUCAAGCUGUCAGGCAGCAACCCCUAGACCACCAUUGGCCCUUAGAUCAUCAACUCCAAGUGGGAGAAGGUGCAGCAGCUGGUGCCAAAGCUGGACCAUGCACUCCUGGAAAGCAGAGCAAGCAGCAAUGCAUUGAAACCUACAGUUUGCCAGCCGAAUCAAUAUAGUGGGCCCUGGAUCCGGACCAAGACAGAGGAAAUCUGGCACAUCUCCAUGGAGAUGAACCGGACUCUAGAAGACCAGCUGAGUCACCUGAAGCAGUAUGAGAGCAGUGUUGUGGACUACUCAAUGUAGUCCUGCUGUAGCAGCAGAACCAGCUCAUCCAGGAGCAACUACACAAUGGAGCAUAUUCAUACGUGCUGUGAGCUCACUACCAUUGCCCGCACCAUCAACGAGGUGGAAAACCAGAUCCUCACUAGAGAUGCCAAGGGUAUCAGCCAGGAACAGAUAUGCAGGAGUUCCGGGCAUCCUUCAUCCACUUUGACAAGGACCAUGGCGAGGCACUGGGACCUGAGGAAUUCAAAGCUUCCCUCAUCAGCCUGGGCCAAGUUGUUGAGAAUGACGAGCAGGGUGAUGCUGCAUUCAACCUGAUCAUGAGUGUGGUUGACCCCAACCAUCGUGGCCUCCUGCCCUUCCAAGCCUUCAGUGACUUCAUCUAGAGGGAGACCACAGACAUAGACACAGCUGAUCUGAUCACAGACACAUUACUCCCUUCAAGGUCCUGACAGGGGACAAGGACUUAAUCACUGCUGAGGAACUGCGGAGAGAGCUGCCCCCACCCCACCAGGCUGAUGAGGCAGGUCUCCCGCAUAGCACCCUACCAAGGGUCUGAUGCUGCUCCUGGUGCCCUUGACUACAAAUCCUUCUCCACAGCCCUCUAUCGGGAGAGCGACCUGUGA